rnacentral:rRNA from 1 species
GACGAACGCUGGCGGCGUGCCUAAUACAUGCAAGUCGAGCGGAGCGGCGGCCGGGUGCGUAAUGCCUAGGUAUCUGCCUGGGAGUGUGGGAUAACGUCCGGAAAUGGGCGCUAAUACCGCAUCCUCUCAGCAUAGCCUAGGUCGGAUGGGCUAGCUGGUGGGGUAAAGGCCUACCAAGGCGACGAUCCGUAACUGGUCUGAGAGGAUGAUCAGCCACACUGGAACGGAGACACGGUCCAGACUCCUACGGGAGGCAGCAGUGGGGAAUAUUGGACAAUGGGCGAAAGCCUGAUGCAGCCAUGCCGCGUGUGUGAAGAAGGCCUUCGGAUUGUAAAGCACUUUAAGUUGGGAGGCGUUACCAACAGAAUAAGCACCGGCUAACUUCGUGCCAGCAGCCGCGGUAAUAC